AUUGAACGCUGGCGGCAUGCCUUACACAUGCAAGUCGAACGGCAGCACGGGUGCUUGCACCUGGUGGCGAGUGGCGAACGGGUGAGUAAUACAUCGGAACGUACCUUAUCGUGGGGGAUAACGCAGCGAAAGUUGCGCUAAUACCGCAUACGCCCUGAGGGGGAAAGCGGGGGACCGUAAGGCCUCGCGCGAUUAGAGCGGCCGAUGUCUGAUUAGCUUGUUGGUGAGGUAAAAGCUCACCAAGGCGAUGAUCAGUAGCUGGUCUGAGAGGACGAUCAGCCACACUGGGACUGGGACACGGCCCAGACUCCUACGGGAGGCAGCAGUGGGGAAUUUUGGACAAUGGGGGCAACCCUGAUCCAGCAAUGCCGCGUGAGUGAAGAAGGCCUUCGGGUUGUAAAGCUCUUUUGUCAGGGAAGAAACAGCAGCUCUAACACAGUCUGCGAAUGACGGUACCUGAAGAAUAAGCACCGGCUAACUACGUGCCAGCCGCCGCUGUAA
rnacentral:rRNA from 1 species